CAAAAGUUGAAACAAAGAAUACAAAUCCUAUUGAGGUUGAUAGUGUUUGCCCACUUUGCGCAGCUGAUGUCAAGUCUCUUGAGCAUGUCUUCAACCACUGUCAAACAGCUAGAAUGUGCUGGAACUCCAUCCCGAGUAGGUAGCAUUCAGGGUUCUCAUUUUUUUGAUUGGUUUAGUCGCGCUUUUGCUUUGUGUAAUCGCCAGGCUCACCAACUGGCCUCUAUGAUUCUCUGGGCUUUAUGGAAGAACAGGAAUGACUUCCUUUGGAACAACUCCCGCAGCAAUGCCUCCCAAGUUUUGAGUCUAGCCUCAUCCUCUCUAGCUCAUUGGCAAUCGGCAAGAGCUCCCCAACCCAAGCCUCUUUUCUCGCUGCCGAACUAUGCGCCUCCCAUUGACAAGGAGCAGUGGAUUAAGCCCCCGUCAGAUUUUCUCAAAUAUAAUUUUGAUGCUUCUCCAAGACAGCAUAACAAUUGAAAUGGCAUUGGUUGGGUUUUGCCCGACGAUCUAGGCAACCUUUUCUUGCCUGUCAUUGAGAGAUGGUGGG
rnacentral:misc_RNA from 1 species